GACGCACGCUGGCGGCGUGCUUAACACAUGCAAGUCGAACGGAAAGGCCUCUUUCGGGGGGUACUCGAGUGGCGAACGGGUGAGUAACACGUGAGUAACCUGCCCUUGACUUUGGGAUAACUUCAGGAAACUGGGGCUAAUACCGGAUAGGAGCUCCUGCUGCAUGGUGGGGGUUGGAAAGUUUCGGCGGUUGGGGAUGGACUCGCGGCUUAUCAGCUUGUUGGUGGGGUAGUGGCUUACCAAGGCUUUGACGGGUAGCCGGCCUGAGAGGGUGACCGGCCACAUUGGGACUGAGAUACGGACCAGACUCCUACGGGAGGCAGCAGUGGGGAAUAUUGCACAAUGGGUGGAAGCCUGAUGCAGCAACGCCGUGUGCGGGAUGACGGCCUUCGGGUUGUAAACCGCUUUCGCUCAUGACGAAGCUUUGUGUGACGGUAGUGGGUAAAGAAGCACCGGCUAACUACGUG
rnacentral:rRNA from 1 species